rnacentral:rRNA from 1 species
ACGGAAGGCAGCAGUGGGGAAUAUUGGGCAAUGGGCGCAAGCCUGACCCAGCAAUGCCGCGUGAAGGAUGAAGGUCUUCGGAUUGUAAACUUCUUUGAUUGGGGAAGAAUAAAUGACCUACCCCAAGAACAAGCUCCGGCUAACUACGUGCCAGCAGCCGCGGUAAUACGUAGGGAGCAAGCGUUAUCCGGAUUUACUGGGUGUAAAGGGCGUGUAGGCGGCUCUGCAAGUCAGAAGUGAAAUUCCUUGGCUCAACCCGGGCGCUGCUUCUGAAACUGCAGAACUUGAGUACUGGAGGGGAAAGCGGAAUUCCUAGUGUAGCGGUAAAAUGCGCAGAUAUUAGGAGGAACACCGGUGGCGAAGGCGGCUUUCUGGACAGUAACUGACGCUGAGGCGCGAAAGCGUGGGGAGCAAACAGGAUUAGAUACCCUGGUA